rnacentral:rRNA from 1 species
UGGGGAAUAUUGCACAAUGGGCGCAAGCCUGAUGCAGCCAUGCCGCGUGUGUGAAGAAGGCCUUCGGGUUGUAAAGCACUUUCAGCGAGGAGGAAGGCGUUAAGGUUAAUAACCUUAGCGAUUGACGUUACUCGCAGAAGAAGCACCGGCUAACUCCGUGCCAGCAGCCGCGGUAAUACGGAGGGUGCAAGCGUUAAUCGGAAUUACUGGGCGUAAAGCGCACGCAGGCGGUUUGUUAAGUCAGAUGUGAAAUCCCCGAGCUUAACU